rnacentral:rRNA from 1 species
CAGCAGCCGCGGUAAUACGUAGGUCCCGAGCGUUGUCCGGAUUUAUUGGGCGUAAAGGGAGCGCAGGCGGUUUAGUAAGUCUGAAGUUAAAGGCAUUGGCUCAACCAAUGUAUGCUUUGGAAACUGUUAGACUUGAGUGCAGAAGGGGAGAGUGGAAUUCCAUGUGUAGCGGUGAAAUGCGUAGAUAUAUGGAGGAACACCGGUGGCGAAAGCGGCUCUCUGGUCUGUCACUGACGCUGGGGCUCGAAAGCGUGGGUAGCGAACAGGAUUAGAUACCCCCGUAGUCCCUGUCCUUAUACAC